CCCUUAGACGUUCUGGGCCGCACGCGCGCUACACUGAAGCGUUCAACGAGUAUUCACCUUGCCCGGGAGGGUUGGGUAAUCUUUUCAAAACGCUUCGUGAUGGGGAUAGAUUAUUGCAAUUAUUAAUCUUCAACGAGGAAUUCCUAGUAAGCGCGAGUCAUCAGCUCGUGCUGAUUACGUCCCUGCCCUUUGUACACACCGCCCGUCGCACCUACCGAUUGAAUGGUCCGGUGAAAUCUCGGGACGGCGGCUUGGUCGCUUGCGUCCGACUGCUGAAACUUGAUUAAACCAUAUCAUUUAGAGGAAGGUGAAGUCGUAACA
rnacentral:rRNA from 1 species